rnacentral:rRNA from 1 species
CUCUAUAAUAGAAAUGAGAAAUACGAUCUCAUCUGAUCUCAGAAGCUAAGCAGGGUCGGGCCUGGUUAAUACUUGGAUGGGAGACCACCUAGGAAGACCAGGUGCUGUAGGCA